AUUGAACGCUGGCGGCAGGCUUAACACAUGCAAGUCGAACGAGUGGCGGACGGGUGAGUAAUGCUUGGGAAUCUGGCUUAUGGAGGGGGAUAACGACGGGAAACUGUCGCUAAUACCGCGUACCAUAGGAUGAGCCCAAGUGGGAUUAGGUAGGUGGUGGGGUAAAGGCAUACCAAGGUGACGAGCUCUAGCUGGUCUGAGAGGAUGACCAGCCACACCGGAACUGAGAGACGGCCCAGACUCCUACGGGAGGCAGCAGUGGGGAAUAUUGCGCAAUGGGGGCAACCCUGACGCAGCCAUGCCGCGUGAAUGAAGAAGGCCUUCGGGUUGUAAAGUACUUUCGGUGUGGAGGCGUUACAUGCAGAAGAAGCACCGGCUAACUCCGUGCCAGCAGCCGCGGUAAUAC
rnacentral:rRNA from 1 species